rnacentral:rRNA from 1 species
UUCGCCUACGGGACGCAGCAGUGAGGAAUAUUGGUCAAUGGGCGCGAGCCUGAACCAGCCAAGUCGCGUGAGGGAAGACGGUCCUAUGGAUUGUAAACCUCUUUUGUCGGGGAGCAAAAGACGCCACGCGUGGCGUUCCGAGAGUACCCGAAGAAAAAGCAUCGGCUAACUCCGUGCCAGCAGCCGCGGUAAUACGGAGGAUGCGAGCGUUAUCCGGAUUUAUUGGGUUUAAAGGGUGCGUAGGCGGAAGGUUAAGUCAGCGGUCAAAUGUCGGUGCUCAACACCGGCCUGCCGUUGAAACUGGC